UACAGAGGGCUCAAGCGUUGUUCGGAUUCAUUGGGCGUAAAGGGCGCGUAGGCGGCGGGGUCAGUCGGGUGUGAAAUCUUGGGGCUUAACCCCGAAACGGCACUCGAAACUGCCCGGCUGGAGGGCCGGAGAGGAGAUCGGAAUUCACGGUGUAGCAGUGAAAUGCGUAGAGAUCGUGAGGAACACCAGCGGCGAAGGCGGCGACCUGGGUGGAUACUGACGCUGAGGUGCGAAAGCGUGGGGAGCAAACAGG
rnacentral:rRNA from 1 species